GUGCGCGACGUCUGAGGAAGCCGGCACGGAAGGUUCGAUUUUGCCUGGGGGCUGCCCUUACCUUAGCUUUUGGAGGCGUGGAGAGGCCGCGCAGUUCUGCGUCGCUUGCGGAGUGAAUUCGAGCAUGGUACCAGAUACGACCUCCCUGAACUGGUUGCUUGCAAGAGACUUUCUUCAGAGAUUUCAGGUUACCCUCAAGAUACAGAAGCCAAAUUAUGGAGUCCACAAAAAGUAGUGAGAAAUCCAGAACAGCCUCCUGGAAUCUUCACUCUGGGCCAUUCUUGAUGCUCAGCACCACCCCAGAUCUCCAGCUUCCUAGUAAUAAAGAAAUUGAGAUCCAGAGAAGUGAAGUGGUUUGUAUAUGUCAUACAUCUAGAUAGUAGCAAAGCAGAAACUGGAUUCCAGCUCUUCAUUCUUCUGAUCAUUUCUUCUUUUUAUGCCACCACAUUGACUUCAUUUCUAUGUUGUUUUACUGUUGCUUUGUUCCUUGGUAUAACUUCAGAUAAGGUCGUAAGUAUAGUUCCACACAUAGUAAUUAAGAGGCAUCAGUGAACAGAACACAGCUUUCUCUACUCUUUGUUCCUUUUGCAAACAGAUUUAACACAUUUGUUUUUGGAGAAAGAGCAGAUUUUGUUCCUGAGUUUUAUGGGCUGAGAAAAAAAGUUUUGCGUUUAAUGUUUCUUUAUUGUUUAGUUAAAAAAUUUUUAUUGAAUAAAAGAGACUGCGUUUCAUAAAAGUACAUUAUAUGACACUUAGAAAUGUGUUUGUAAACUUUUAUUGCACGCUCCCCGAGAAUGACUGAAAGCCAGGCAGCAACAAUUUUGUCUCUUCCACAGUGGCAUGGCUGCCCAGUAAUACCUUCUUCACUGACCUGCCUUGUUUUCUAAAAUUCUCACCAUUAGUUUGACAAUAUGGGAUCAAGGUAUUUGUUAAAAUGCACAAAUGUUACCUCGGAAGAAAAGAGCAAAAAGCCAUUUUUAGAACACUAGAGGAAUAAAAAUAGGACAGAUAUUUUGUGAUUUUGAAGGGAUAAGGGUGAUAAAGAGAGACCCAAGAUAGUGUAGGAAUUUCCAGUAGGAUAGAUAGGACAAGCUUAUCUUUGGUGAUUUGUCACAACUUAGAACCCGUGGGGACUUCCCUGGCGGUCCAGUGGUUGGGACUCCACCCUUCCAUUGCAGGGUUCAACCCCUGGCCGGGGAACUAAGAUCCCCAUAUGCUGCAUGGCACAGCCAAAAAAACAAAAAGUUUGAAAAAAAAAAAAAAAAAGAACCCAUGACAGCCAGAGGAUAGCAUGAGAAUAUUGGUCAUAAUCAGUGGAUUUAUUGGAGACUUCAGUGAGAUCUUGGAAAUAUGGUUAACUUCUGAGAACAGAACUAGUAAGAAACAACCUGGGCUUGUCAGACCUCUCUUGGAGUAUUAUCAUUAGAAAAUUUGUAGACAAACUGGAACACUUUCCAGGGAGAAGAUUGUGACAGAAAAAUCCACCUUCAGUAAAUAUUUAUGUUCCAGCACUGUUCUGUACAUUGGGAUACCAUCAGUGAACAAAACAAAGAUCCCUGCCCUUGUUUCUGUUUGUUUGGUUGGUUUUUUGUUUGUUUGGCCCCACUGCGUGGCAUGCGGGAUCUUAGUUCCCUGACCAGGGAUUGAACCCAUGGCCCUUGCAGUGGAAGCAUAGAAUCCUAACCACUGGAUCGCCAGGGAAUUCCCCUCCCUACCCUUAGGGAACUUAAAUUUUUGUAAGGCUAGACAGACAAUAAACAAAAUGAAUACUGACUACAGUUUGUUAGAAGGUGAAAAGUGCUUUUGAUAAAAAGAAAAAAAUAGACAAGGCAAAGUGAAUCAUGUCAAGAAUAUCAGGAAAAGUUGAAGGAUGAUAGUUCUGUUCCUUCUAUGAAGUAUGUAUAAUAAUAUUUACCAUUGCUAUAAAUAUUGAAUAUGGUUCUAUUUGUUAAGUACUUUGUACUAUGCCUAACAUACUUGACAGUAGACAAUAAAAGCUCUGCUCCACAUCAUCUUUACUCCAGGAUCCAGGUCUUCUAUCUGAAGUAUUGUCUGUUUUAUGGAAGAGGGAAAAGAAGCAGGCAAACCACUCACUGGCUCUUAAAGCUUCUGCCCAGAAGUCACACAUCACCAAUUUUAUUAGACCAGGUCACAUGGUGUGAUGGUUUUCAGAAUAUGUCCACAAAUUCUUUGACACUCCUCCCUUCAGAAAGUGGAGUCUAAUUCCUCUGCCCUUGAGUGUGAGCUGGACUUAGUUUCUUGCUUCUCACAAAUACAUGAUGACAGAAGUGAUGAUGUGUGACUUCCAAGACAGGGUCAUAAAAAGCAUUGCAGGGGCUUCCCUGGUGGCGCAGUGGUUGAGAGUCCGCCUGC